UGAGGUAGUAGUUUGUGCUGUUCGUCGGGUUGUGACAUUGCCCGCUGUGGAGAUAACUGCGCAAGCUACUGCCUUGC
rnacentral:pre_miRNA from 1 species